UACAGAGGUCUCAAGCGUUGUUCGGAUUUAUUGGGCGUAAAGGGUGCGUAGGCGGCGGAGCAAGUCUGAUGUGAAAUCCCAGAGCUCAACUCUGGAACUGCAUUGGAUACUGCUUUGCUAGAGUGCUGGAGAGGAGACUGGAAUUUACGGUGUAGCAGUGAAAUGCGUAGAUAUCGUAAGGAAGGCCGGUGGCGAAGGCGAGUCUCUGGACAGUUACUGACGCUGAGGCACGAAGGCCAGGGGAGCAAACGGGAUUAGAUACCCGGUAGUCC
rnacentral:rRNA from 1 species